UCAUGCCUGUAGGUUUCCAUUGCUCU
rnacentral:piRNA from 1 species